GCCGGGCGUUGUGGCGAGCGCUUGUAAUCCAAGUGACUGGGAGGCAUGUGGUGGCGGAUGGAGUGAGAGGAGGAGUCCUGGCUGAUGCUUGGCGGUGGCGACCGAGCGUCCAGGCCAAGCGUGGCGUCGACAAGGUGUCGAGAUAGGAGUGUCAUCGGUACCUGGUCGCAUAAUGAGGGGCGUACGGCUCAGGGCCGAAAGGCAGCAGGCAAAAGUCCCCGCGUCAUGACAGUGGCCGGAUAGCGCUUGCGAGUCGUCGGUAUUAGUCAGCCUUGUCAAUACCUCCAGACCCAUCGCUUUU
rnacentral:SRP_RNA from 10 species